UGGGAUAGCAUGAAAUAAAAAUGGAAACAAACACAUUGAAUCAGAUCAUAAAUAUUUUAACAAAGCAUCGGAUGGAUAGUUAAGAUCAAGAAAGUAACUAGAAACAUGAGAGCUUUAGAAGAAAAACAGGUCAUGAGGACAGCUUUAAUGUUUUUCUGGCUAUAACUGUCAUCCUACCAGUUUGUGGCUGGAAAAGUAAAUUAAAUAUUUGCAUAGACCAUGGAAUGACAAAUACAAGUACAACAGAAACCAGAAAGUGGAAGUCUUUAUAUCUUGCUUUGAAGGUAAGUGUUUGGCUAAUUAUCUACAUGUUACUCAAACGGCAGAGAUGUGACUUCUGAUUCUUUCUCCCAUCUCUGGCUAAUGAGUAAAAUCUGUGUGUCAAAAAGGCAAUAAAGUAAUUUAAAAAUAUUCUAUGUCUGACUUCUUCAAUGUUUUCUAAUUUAUUUACAUUUUUGCAUAUCAGUGUAGUUUCUUCAUUUUUAUACUAUAAUAUCCCAUUACAUACAUAUACAAUUAAUUAAACCACAUUUGUGUAUAUGCCACAUAGAAAA
rnacentral:lncRNA from 1 species